AAAAAGACAAAUAAUGAGUUUCCGUGUCCAACUUUGACUGUCCGUCUUAUAUGAAAUUUUUUUAUAAUUUGUAUUUUUAUUGUUGUUAGAUGAUAAAACAUGAUUAAUAUUUUAUGCGUGACUUGUCUUUUUAAUUUUUUUUCAUAAUUUUUUUAAAUAAGACGGACGGUCAAAUAUUGGACACGGAAACCAGGGUUUGUCUUUUU
rfam:Oryza glumipatula chromosome 6, whole genome shotgun sequence.